GGGGGACAGCACAGAGACUCAUGGCCCCGGGGACUCCGGAGGACAAGGCUCUCGGGACCAGCCCUUCGUCUUGAUGCCCCAGGAAAUUGAUCUGGUCAGAGAGAUGCCAAGGCUUAGAGCCCAUCUCCACAGAGGACAAGGCUGAGGCUCAUGAGAAUCAGGAGUGCCCCCCCCCCUUGCUGUUGAAGUCUCUCAUUCCUUGGGAAAAUAAAAGCUUUGCCACCUCUGAUAUUUCCUCCUCUUGCACGAAACACAGAGCCACGACCCGAGCAAGGUCAU